rnacentral:rRNA from 1 species
GACGAACGCUGGCGGCGUGCUUAACACAUGCAAGUCGAACGGAAAGGCCUCUUUCGGGGGGUACUCGAGUGGCGAACGGGUGAGUAACACGUGAGUAACCUGCCCUUGACUUUGGGAUAACUUCAGGAAACUGGGGCUAAUACCGGAUAGGAGCUCCUGCUGCAUGGUGGGGGUUGGAAAGUUUCGGCGGUUGGGGAUGGACUCGCGGCUUAUCAGCUUGUUGGUGGGGUAGUGGCUUACCAAGGCUUUGACGGGUAGCCGGCCUGAGAGGGUGACCGGCCACAUUGGGACUGAGAUACGGCCCAGACUCCUACGGGAGGCAGCAGGGGGGAAGAUUGCACAAUGGGUGGAAGCCUGAUGCAGCAACGCCGUGUGCGGGAUGACGGCCUUCGGGUUGGAAACCGCUUUCGCUCAUGACGAAGCUUUGUGUGACGGUAGUGGGUAAAGAAGCACCGGCUAACUACGUG